AAGGGCACCACAAGAACGCGUGGAGCAUGUGGCUUAAUUUGACUCAACGCGGGAAAUCUUACCGGGUCCGGACACACUGAGGAUUGACAGGUGUUUCGUUUUGAUAUAGCAUUCAUAUCAAUGCUAAUGGGAAUUCCUUUGUUGGUUUUCUUUUUUUAGUAAUACAUGUGCUAUUAUACAAAACAAUUUCAAAUAUGCUAGUCCUUUCAUGAUUGUGUGAUAGGUGGUGCAUGGCCGUUCUUAGUUCGUGGAGUGAUCUGUCGGCUUAAUUGCGUUUCACUUAUGGCCACAAGUGUUUUAUAUUAAUACUGUGACCUCAUCGGUUUUUUUACAAAACGGUGAUUGCGUCCGGUAUGAUAUGCACUGUGAAAGCCUCGAAGGCAACGAACGUGACCGCAGCCUCUUGUUGCCUCCCUUGUGCAAACUGUAUCGUGUUUCUGCGUAUUAUAAAUUUAUUUUUAUUUUAUGUGUUAUGCUUUCAGUCUUUUGCCACAGUUUUUUCAUAUGUAUGUAUUAUCGUUUUCAGUUCCUUGAUGAAGGUGCACAUUGCAUUAUUUGUGAGUCAUGUAUACAUAUGGUUGCGUCAACGUAGUCAUGUGUUGUUGUGGUUUGCAAGGUGUAUGUGUCGUUCACAGGGAUAUGAAAUUUGUAUGUGCAUACAGCGAAUUAACCUGCAGUGGAGGGAAACUAGAGGGACCGCUGACUUUUUAUCUAACCAGAGGAAGGUUGCGGCAAUAACAGGUCUGUGAUGCCCUUAGAUGUUCCGGGCUGCACACGUGCUACAAUGAUUAUUGCAGUGAGCAUCUUACCCCAGUUCGUGGGCACAGCUUAUUUCGUUACACUGGUACUUUAAAGGGUGUUGUGUGUGUGUGUAUGUUUAUACGCGUGUUUCUUUUUUGGAAUGCGUGUGUAAUCUGUAUAUAUACAUUUCGCCUGUCAGUGUUAGCGGGCUGAUGCAUUUUACGACCAGGCUACUUCGAAAGUAAGUAGCUAAUCAAUUCGAAGUAAUGAUUUCCUUUGCAUAUUACAUAUAUGUCCUGUGUCUUAUGGGUGUUUUCUCUUUUAGGGUUUACAUUACCGUAUUAUACAGUGGCAUGUGCUCCAUUAAUUCGUGGUGGGGACAGACCAUUGUUAAUUGUUGGUCUCGGUCUCAACUAGGAAUGCCUUGUACGGGUCUUUGGUUCAACAGACCACCCGGAAUAUGUCCCUGCCCUUUGUACACACCGCCCGUCGCUCUUACCGAUGGACUUCUCUGUGAGUUUGAGGGACUGGAAAUUCCUUUCUAUGGAAACUUAAACGAACAGCGUGGUCUAANGGNGAGAGAAGUCGAACAAGGCA
rnacentral:rRNA from 1 species